UACGUAGGCAGCAAGCGUUGUUCGGAGUUACUGGGCGUAAAGGGUGUGUAGGCGGUUCCUUAAGUUUGCUGUGAAAUCUCCCGGCUUAACCGGGAGGGUGCGGUGAAUACUGAGGGACUAGAGUACGGGAGAGGAAAGUGGAAUUCCUGGUGUAGCGGUGAAAUGCGUAGAUAUCAGGAGGAACACCAGUAGCGAAGGCGGCUCGCUGGGCCGUUCCUGACGCUGAGACGCGAAAGCGUGGGGAGCAAACAGG
rnacentral:rRNA from 1 species